rnacentral:rRNA from 1 species
AGCAUUUGUACUGUGAAACUGCGAAUGGCUCAUUAAAUCAGUUAUCGUUUAUUUGAUAGUACCUUACUACAUGGAUACCUGUGGUAAUUCUAGAGCUAAUACAUGCUAAAAACCCCGACUUCGGAAGGGGUGUAUUUAUUAGAUAAAAAACCAAUGCCCUUCGGGGCUCCUUGGUGAUUCAUAAUAACUUAACGAAUCGCAUGGCCUUGCGCCGGCGAUGGUUCAUUCAAAUUUCUGCCCUAUCAACUUUCGAUGGUAGGAUAGUGGCCUACCAUGGUGGCAACGGGUAACGGGGAAUUAGGGUUCGAUUCCGGAGAGGGAGCCUGAGAAACGGCUACCACAUCCAAGGAAGGCAGCAGGCGCGCAAAUUACCCAAUCCCGACACGGGGAGGUAGUGACAAUAAAUACUGAUACGGGGCUCUUUUGGGUCUCGUAAUUGGAAUGAGUACAAUCUAAAUCCCUUAACGAGGAACAAUUGGAGGGCAAGUCUGGUGCCAGCAGCCGCGGUAAUUCCAGCUCCAAUAGCGUAUAUUAAAGUUGUUGCAGUUAAAAAGCUCGUAGUUGAACCUUGGGUCUGGCUGGCCGGUCCGCCUCACCGCGAGUACUGGUCCGGCUGGACCUUUCCUUCUGGGGAACCUCAUGGCCUUCACUGGCUGUGGGGGGAACCAGGACUUUUACUGUGAAAAAAUUAGAGUGUUCAAAGCAGGCCUUUGCUCGAAUACAUUAGCAUGGAAUAAUAGAAUAGGACGUGCGGUUCUAUUUUGUUGGUUUCUAGGACCGCCGUAAUGAUUAAUAGGGAUAGUCGGGGGCGUCAGUAUUCAGCUGUCAGAGGUGAAAUUCUUGGAUUUGCUGAAGACUAACUACUGCGAAAGCAUUCGCCAAGGAUGUUUUUCAUUAAUCAGGGAACGAAAGUUAGGGGGAUCGAAGACGAUCAGAUACCGUCGUAGUCUUAACCAUAAACUAUGCCGACUAGGGAUCGGGCGGUGUUUCUAUGAUGACCCGCUCGGCACCUUACGAGAAAUCAAAGUUUUUGGGUUCUGG